GUGGGGAAUAUUGGACAAUGGGCGAAAGCCUGAUCCAGCCAUGCCGCGUGUGUGAAGAAGGUCUUCGGAUUGUAAAGCACUUUAAGUUGGGAGGAAGGGCAGUAAGUUAAUACCUUGCUGUUUUGACGUUACCGACAGAAUAAGCACCGGCUAACUUCGUGCCAGCAGCCGCGGUAAUACGAAGGGUGCAAGCGUUAAUCGGAAUUACUGGGCGUAAAGCGAGCGUAGGUGGUUUUGUAAGUUGGAGGUGAAAUCCCCGGGCUCAACCUGGGAACUGCCUCCAAAACUGCAUGACUAGAGUACGGUAGAGGGUAGUGGAAUUUCCUGUGUAGCGGUGAAAUGCGUAGAUAUAGGAAGGAACACCAGUGGCGAAGGCGACUACCUGGACUGAUACUGACACUGAGGUGCGAAAGCGUGGGGAGCAAACAGGAUUAGAAACCCCAGUAGUCC
rnacentral:rRNA from 1 species